ensembl:ncRNA F15A2.14 ncRNA
CAAGAUGUUCAAAUGAAUGAAGAGGCCAUAAAGCUUUGAAAGGAAAAAAAAUGGGGGGGGGGGGGGGGAAGCAAUGGAAGAUGGGUGGUAGGCUUGGGAUGGAGGGUGUGGUGAUGGCGCGUUGAAAAACAAAAGGCGGGAAAGAAAAAGAGCCAACACGCCCCAUCCUCUCCGUUUGUCAUGUCCCUCUACUCGAACAAGCCGCCAGCUUUUCCAGCCUCCAUCACUCUAUUCUAUGGCCACCAAUUUAUUCUGUACUAGUUUUAUUGCAACCGAAGCAAAUAACUAUCAUGAUGGUGUCAAGAGAGC